GGAGAGGUGCGAGAGUGGUCGAAUCGGGCUCCCUGCUAAGGAGUUGAUCCGGUUAUACGGAUCCAAGGGUUCAAAUCCCUUCCUCUCCG
rnacentral:tRNA from 5 species